GAUGAACGCUAGCGGGAGGCCUAAUACAUGCAAGUCGAACGGUUCCGGUUUAGGCAGGGAUAGUGGCGCACGGGUGAGUAACGCGUACGCAAUUUGCCCUCAAGAGGGGGAUAGCCCUGGGAAACUGGGAGUAAUACCCAAUGUAGUUAUAUUUUUGCAGGGUAAUAUAACUAAAGAUGCGGUUGUGGAGGAUAGGCGUGCGUCUGAUUAGCUUGUUGGUGGGGUAACGGCGUACGAAGGCGAUGAGCAGAAGGGGGCGUGACGGCGUGGCCCCCCACACGGGUACUGAGACACGGACCCGACUCCUACGGGAGGCAGCAUUAAGGAAUAUUGGGCAAUGGGCGGAAGCCUGACCCAGCCAUCCCGCGUGCAGGAAGAAUGCCCUAUGGUGUGUAAACUGCUUUUAUACGGGAAGAAACACCGGUUCGUGAACCGGCUUGACGUUACCGUAAGAAUAAGGAUCGGCUAACUCCGUGCCAGCAGCCGCGGUAA
rnacentral:rRNA from 1 species